UGAUAAACCAGCUAGCAACUAGCUGAGUGGCUCUGGGACAGCUGGUGAAGCAAUUUGUGCUUUAAGCUUCUCAUCUGUAAAAUAAGGGGGCGGUUGCUGUCAUUGUUCCAGGACUGGAGUUCUGGACCUUAGCCGUACACUGGAAUCAUCUGGAGUGCUUUAAAGACAACAUUCAUUGAAUACCUCUUAACUGAUAAAACUGACAGUCUCAGUCCUGGCUUCAGAUUUGAAUCACCUGGGAAGAUUUAAAAGCACUACCCUGGAGCAACGAAAUCAGACUUUCUGGGGACGGAGCCCAGACGUCAGUAUUUUCAAGAGUUCCCCAGGAGACUGCAAUGAACAGCCCUGGUCAACACCAAACAAAUGAAGAAUUGAUGCAUUCUUUGGAUACUCAAGAAAAAAAGAGAAAUGAUGGUGGACAAACACCUUCUGGAAGAGUGGAAUAGGAAGGCAGCACUUUCCACACUUGCAGAUAGCUCUGCAUUAGAGUAUCACCUAUUCGUGAGAAAUCUAAGGAUGACAAAAAUGAACCAGAAAGGCUUUCUUUGAAAGAAAAACUACCUCAGUAUCAUUAAAAAAAAAAAAUCCUGGGGAGGGGGAGGAAUUCUUUAGUUCCUAAAGGAAAAAUGUUAAAAAAUAUCUUCUCAAAGUCAUCAAUGAAGAGACGGCAUUAUUUGAAGAUAGGAGAGUCAGAAAGAAAAUAUGCUAGUUUUAUAUGCCUUCCUGACGUUCACAGACCAGAGUUUCCAGGGGCUGGAUAAUUCUGCAAAAGUACUCUGGAGUUUCAACAAUGACAUGAUUGUCAUUUUUGUUUUUUAAGAUCACAGUUUUUUUAAACAGAUCAAAAAUUAUUUCAUA
rnacentral:lncRNA from 1 species